rnacentral:rRNA from 1 species
GCGAACGCUGGCGGCAGGCUUCACACAUGCAAGUCGAGCGGGCCCUUCGGGGUCAGCGGCAGACGGGUGAGUAACGCGUGGGAACGUGCCCUUCGGUUCGGAAUAACUCAGGGAAACUUGAGCUAAUACCGGAUACGCCCUUAUGGGGAAAGGCUUGCUGCCGAAGGAUCGGCCCGCGUCUGAUUAGCUAGUUGGUGAGGUUAUGGCUCACCAAGGCGACGAUCAGUAGCUGGUCUGAGAGGAUGAUCAGCCACACUGGGACUGAGACACGGCCCAGACUCCUACGGGAGGCAGCAGUGGGGAAUAUUGGACAAUGGGGGCAACCCUGAUCCAGCCAUGCCGCGUGAGUGAUGACGGCCUUAGGGUUGUAAAGCUCUUUUCUCCGGGACGAUAAUGACGGUACCGGAGGAAUAAGCCCCGGCUAACUUCGUG